AUGAAUGAAUAAAUAAGGUUAGUUCAUGUUAACUCACAGUGCAUUAAAUAAUGUUAACAAGCACAACUUUUAAUAAUAAUUUUAAUAAUGCAUUAGUUCAUGUUGGACUAUAAUUAAUAAAUGCUUUGCAAGAUUAUUUAUACUUGGUUAAUGCUUGUAAAAACAUUAUCUAAUGGACCAUUUUUUUAAAGUGUUAUCGAAAUAAGUUAUUAAAACUACUAUGUUUAAAAAUAUGUUGAACAAAAAAUUCUCUCUGUUAAAAAAAACAGUUGGGAAAUAUUUUUCGAACAAUUAAAAUUUCACGCUAAUAAUUUUCACUUCAACUUUUCUUACCAUCUCCAGCCACUCUCUGAAUCUGAGUCGCAUCGCCGUUGAAACUCUUCUGGCUCUGGGAGGUGGAGGACAUUUGUUUUCUGGGAGGUUGUUUGUGUCCGUUGCAUUUUGCAUGUGGGUUGCAUUUCUGUUGUGCUGCAGGACGAGAUGUCGAAACUUGUGGUGAAGAAGCAGGAGGUGAACAGGUCACAGCGCACCCAUUGACUACUGGAGAAGUGCCAUUGGGAAGACAGGGCUUCACUGAAAGGUUUGCCGGUGGCCUUUGGUUGUGUUGUGUGAACAGGACUGUCCUGCCCUCCGUCCUGCUGUUGGACAUCCAUGGCUUCUGUCUCCAUUUGAGACGCUUGACUCGAACUCUGAAAACACAUCCAGCAAGAGCUCAUAUGCAUGAAAUCAGCCUGGCUGUUUGUGGGGUAGAGGUCAUAAUGAAAACCUCUAACAUGGUGACUUUUAUCCUCUAAAACUCCAUGAGAAAGAAAAUCUGACUUAAAGUGCGCAAAACAUGCUCGUCUGCUGCUAGGAACUGGCCUGAAGUGGUUUGGGAAGUUGACUAAUAUGACUAACAUCCUGCUGAGUCAAACCAAAUUGACAAUAUCAUCAAAGCCCAGGAGUCAUAAUAAACAUUUUAGAUAGUUGUUUGCUGUUUUAAGGAUCUGCCCGUGUCUUACCUGUAGGGUUUUAUUGUUCUGUCUCCAGUUAAAAGCUUGUCCCCGUCUGACCCUGUUUUUGAGUCAGCUUAUAUGUCCACCUUUCCCGUUACUCAUUUGUUUUUUCAUAUUUUAUUGAAUCUGCUUGCAUUUUAAUCUUUGUUUUAUUACAUUUGUAGCUUGUCUUAUCAAUACACCAAGACUAAUUCCUUGUUCAUGUACGCCCAUUAAAGGGCUUCUGAAUCUGAC